rnacentral:rRNA from 1 species
AGUGAACGCUGGCGGUAGGCCUAACACAUGCAAGUCGAACGGCAGCACAGUAAGAGCUUGCUCUUACGGGUGGCGAGUGGCGGACGGGUGAGGAAUACAUCGGAAUCUACUUUUUCGUGGGGGAUAACGUAGGGAAACUUACGCUAAUACCGCAUACGACCUACGGGUGAAAGCAGGGGAUCUUCGGACCUUGCGCGAUUGAAUGAGCCGAUGUCGGAUUAGCUAGUUGGCGGGGUAAAGGCCCACCAAGGCGGCGAUCCGUAGCUGGUCUGAGAGGAUGAUCAGCCACACUGGAACUGAGACACGGUCCAGACUCCUACGGGAGGCAGCAGUGGGGAAUAUUGGACAAUGGGCGCAAGCCUGAUCCAGCCAUACCGCGUGGGUGAAGAAGGCCUUCGGGUUGUAAAGCCCUUUUGUUGGGAAAGAAAAGCAGCGGGUUAAUACCCCGCUGUUCUGACGGUACCCAAAGAAUAAGCACCGGCUAACUUCGUG